rnacentral:rRNA from 1 species
AACGCGUGGGUAACCUGCCUUGUACUGGGGGAUAGCAGCUGGAAACGGCUGGUAAUACCGCAUAAGCGCACAAUGUUGCAUGACAUGGUGUGAAAAACUCCGGUGGUAUAAGAUGGACCCACCGUCUGAUUAGCUAGUUGGUGAGAUAACAGCCCACCAAGGCGACGAUCAGUAGCCGACCUGAGAGGAUGACCGGCCACAUUGGGACUGAGACACGGCCCAGACUCCUACGGGAGGCAGCAUG